CCCAAUCAAAUAGAAAGAGAAAUUUCAGAGUAAGGCAAAACAGCUUGUUAGAAAAAUCUGAGAUGGAAGAAUGAGCUCAUUGAAAAUGGAUUCCACUAUGAAAUCUGAAUUUCUAUUGUGUUUUCUUCUUUUCUCUACUUAUUUGAGCUAUGGGGUUGCGUCAAGUUCAUCUGCGACCACUACGAUGCAUACUAACAAUUGGGCUGUUUUGGUCUGCACUUCUCGGUUCUGGUUUAACUACAGACACAUGGCUAACACUUUGUCUUUAUACAGAACCGUAAAACGAUUAGGCAUACCUGAUGAAAGAAUUAUUCUGAUGUUGGCUGAUGAUAUGGCUUGCAAUACUCGAAAUAAAUACCCUGCACAGGUCUUCAACAAUGAAAAUCACAGGCUAAACCUUUAUGGAGAUAACGUUGAGGUAGAUUAUCGAGGCUAUGAAGUAACAGUUGAAAAUUUUCUGAGGGUGCUGACUGGACGUCAUGAAACAGCUGUCCCAAGAUCAAAACGUCUUCUUAGUGAUGAAGGAAGCCACAUACUUCUGUACAUGACAGGGCAUGGCGGAGACGAGUUUCUAAAAUUUCAGGAUUCAGAAGAACUUCAAAGUCAUGAUUUAGCUGAUGCAGUGAAACAAAUGAAAGAAAAGCGUAGAUUCAAGGAGCUGCUAAUAAUGGUUGACACUUGCCAAGCUGCUACUCUUUUCUCGCAGCUUCAAUCACCUGGCGUAUUGACAAUUGGGAGUAGCAUGAAAGGAGAAAAUUCAUACUCGCACCACUUGGAUGCUGAUGUUGGUGUCUCAGUUAUUGAUCGAUUCACAUUUUAUACUCUUGCAUUUUUUGAGAGGGUGAACAUGUAUGAUAAUGCCUCAUUGGGCAGUCUUUUCAGUUCAUAUAACCCAAAUACGCUGAUGUCGACUGCAUAUUAUCGAACAGAUCUAUACCCUCGCCGACUAGAAGAGGUACCCGUGACAAACUUUUUUGGUUCAGUCAUGGAGACGAUACACACUGAUUCUGCAUAUAAAGCAUUCGCUGGCAAAGACUCCAAGAAGUCCACAUUAGAGAUGCCUCUUCAGCAGUCCAGGCAAGACUUACGACGAACAUUUGCAAGUUCAGAUGUUCAGUAUCCAACCAGUGACUCAAAUGUUGAGGAUCCACAAGAUUCCUGUCCUUUCACGAAUUUUUGGAUUUCUAUGCAUGGUAAGAUGAACAAGGUUGAAGGUCUUGAUAGCUGGGUGAACUAUGGCUUGUUUUUGAUGUUUCCAAUGGUGGCAAUGUCAUCUUGGAUCUCGUCUUGAAGCCUUCUUCUUGAUGUUUUCUUUCAGCUUCUAACAUGACGGCAGUUGGUUAGCAGAUUCAGGCGGAGUGGUUAGCAUCCAACCUAUUAUGUUUGCAAAGUAAGCACCUGCUCAUGGUAACACACCUUGACUAUUCCAUCGAGAUUAGGCAGAUGACUCGUGGGUUUUCCCUAGUCUUCCAUGGUUCUCAUACCACUUCAGUGACCACUACGCCACACACUUGAGUGCUGUUUCAGAAGUGGAGACAAGACAUCGAAUGGAUACUCUGAAGGAGCGCCAUGAUCCUGUGUUGUUUCAUUUCCAUGUUUGUCGAAAACAUUGGCCUGGUAGAAGCUGUUCUAUCUCACCAAAAAUACGCGAGCAACUAGUUGAGGCGCCACGCCACCCUUGCUCUGCAAAAUAGAAAUUGCAGAAACUCUUUGACAAAUAGUGCAAUGUAGAAAUUCUUCCUAAGUUCUCUGAUUUGGAAGACAUCAAAUAGUUGAGCUAUUAAUACUAUACCAUUCCAUAUGGUUUGAUUUUUUACAUUCAGUUUAAGUUUUCCGCGACACGUAAAUUGGUAACCAUAAUUUAUUCGACUUUAACUUA